rnacentral:rRNA from 1 species
GAUGAACGCUGGCGGCGUGCCUAAUACAUGCAAGUCGAGCGAACAGACGAGGAGCUUGCUCCUUCGACGUUAGCGGCGGACGGGUGAGUAACACGUAGGUAACCUACCUAUAAGACUGGGAUAACUUCGGGAAACCGGAGCUAAUACCGGAUAAUAUUUCGAACCGCAUGGUUCGAUAGUGAAAGAUGGCUUUGCUAUCACUUAUAGAUGGACCUGCGCCGUAUUAGCUAGUUGGUAAGGUAACGGCUUACCAAGGCAACGAUACGUAGCCGACCUGAGAGGGUGAUCGGCCACACUGGAACUGAGACACGGUCCAGACUCCUACGGGAGGCAGCAGUAAGGAAUCUUCCGCAAUGGGCGAAAGCCUGACGGAGCAACGCCGCGUGAGUGAUGAAGGUCUUCGGAUCGUAAAACUCUGUUAUUAGGGAAGAACAAACGUGUAAGUAACUGUGCACGUCUUGACGGUACCUAAUCAGAAAGCCACGGCUAACUACGUG